GCGUACUGGUUUGAUCGGGAUACUCAUCAAUUUACAUUUUAUUACCGAGAAAUGUUUCGUCUGCCAAUGGCGUGCCAUCCCAUUAUGGUUAGGUGGAUUACAAAGGCAGCGAACCCUCAAAACCUGUUUUUCGGAGUUUCAUCACAUCACCAGUGCGCCCCUUU
rnacentral:sRNA from 1 species